GUGACCGACCGAGUGAGCGGCGCUGGUAUGGCUCACGAAGCUGAAGUCUCCUCUACCUUCUGGAGCGAUGUAACAAAGUCUACUGGAUGUAUCUGCAUGUAAAAGGAAAUAAUUAACGUCUCUUGAAAUCAUUCAUGGAAGACUGCGCAGCCCUAUAAUCUAACUAAGUGCCACCGAAGGAAAUGUGCCGAAAGGCAGGAGUCUGGGGAGUACUUCUGCCGCCGGCCUGUCAAGGAGCUCCACACGGCGGAAACGUGAGCCAAGUGCUGGAAGUGUUUGACGCGAAAAACCUACGUGCUGCUCCAGACCUCCAUCCGGCUCCAGACCUCCGUGCUUCUCCGUCCCCAAGCCGCAUUUAGGGCCUUUUUAAUGCUUAACUUUUUAAUGCAGCUACCAAAUGCAUGUCCGAGACUUGGAUGGCUGUCGGAUACACGUAUUUCCUCUGUAUUUUGACUGCAUUGUAAAUAAACCGUAUUUGACAUUAA